AUGUAGGGCAAUCUGUCUUUAAAUUGGGAUAAAUUACUCUAAAAGAAAUGAAUCCUAGAUAGUUUUCCCUUCAAGUCAACUUAAAAUCUCUUGA
rnacentral:pre_miRNA from 1 species